rnacentral:rRNA from 1 species
GAUGAACGCUGGCGGCGUGCCUAAUACAUGCAAGUCGAGCGAACAUACGAGGAGCUUGCGCCUCUGACGUUAGCGGCGGACGGGUGAGUAACACGUGGAUAACCUACCUAUAAGACUGCGACUACUUCGGGAAACCGGAGCAAAUAGCGGAUAAUAUAUUGAACCGCUGGGUUCUAUGGUGAAAGACGGUUUUGCUGACACUUAUACAUGGAUCCGCGCCGCAUUAGCUAGUUGGUAAGGGAACGGCUUACCAACGCACCGUUCCGUAGCCGACCUGAGAGGGUGAUAGGCCACACGGGAAGUGGGCAACGCUCCAGACCCCUACGGGAGUCAACAGCAGGGAAUUUUGCGCAAUGGGCGAAAGCCUGCCGGAGCCCCGCCGAGUGCGGGAUGAAGGUCUCCGCAUCGUAAAACUCUGUUAUUAGGGACGAACAAAUGUGUACGUGCCUAUGCACGUCUUGACGGUACCUAAUCAGAAAGCCACGGCUAACUACGUG